AAGUCGUAACAAGGUUUCCGUAGGUGAACCUGCGGAAGGAUCAUUAGUGAAUUGCUCUCUGAGCGUUAACUACAUCCAUCUACACCUGUGAACUGUUGAUUGACUUCGGUCAAUUGAUUUUACAAACAUUGUGUAAUGAACGUCAUGUUAUUAUAACAAAAAUAACUUUCAACAACGGAUCUCUUGGCUCUC
rnacentral:misc_RNA from 1 species